rnacentral:rRNA from 1 species
GACGUAGGGCGCGAGCGUUGUCCGGAUUUAUUGGGCGUAAAGAGCUCGUAGGCGGCUUGUCGCGUCGUCCGUGAAAACCCGGGGCUCAACUCCGGGCUUGCGGGCGAUACGGGCAGGCUAGAGUUCGGUAGGGGAGACUGGAAUUCCUGGUGUAGCGGUGAAAUGCGCAGAUAUCAGGAAGAACACCAAUGGCGAAGGCAGCUCUCUGGGACGGUACUGACACUGAGACGCGAAAGCGUGGGGAGCGAACAGG